rnacentral:tRNA from 1 species
AGAUCAGCGACCUGGGCAAACCUCUUUGAUCGUUCUCAUAAUGCCGAUGUCGCUAGUUCGAAUCUAGCCGUAGCCACCA